GNANUGGGCGAAGCCUGAUGCAGCGACGCCGCGUGGGGGAUGAAGCUUCUCGGAGUGUAAACCCCUUUCGACCCGGACGAAUGCCCCGCAAGGGGACUGACGGUACGGGUAUAAGAAGCCCCGGCUAACUACGCGCCAGCAGCCGCGGUAAGACGUAGGGGGCCAGCGUUGCUCGGAAUUACUGGGUGUAAAGGGUUCGUAGGCGGUGUGGCAAGUCGGGAGUGAAAUCUCUGGGCUCAACCCAGAGUCUGCUUCCGAAACUGCUGUGCUUGAGUGUGGGAGAGGCGCGUGGAAUUGCAGGUGUAGCGGUGAAAUGCGUAGAUAUCUGCAGGAACACCCGUGGCGAAAGCGGCGCGCUGGACCACUACUGACACUGAGGAACGAAAGCUAGGGGAGCAAACAGGAUUAGAUACCCUGGUAGUCCUAGCCCUAAACGAUCAGGACUUGGGGUGCCACCCGUUCGGGUGUCGUCCCGGAGCUAACGCGUUAAGUCCUGCACCUGGGGAGUACGGUCGCAAGACUGAAACUCAAAAAAAUUGACGGA
rnacentral:rRNA from 1 species